rnacentral:rRNA from 1 species
UGAACGCUGGCGGCGUGCCUAACACAUGCACGUCGAACGGAGUCCAGCCUUUAAGACCUUCGGGUCAAAGAGGGGAAGACUGAGUGGCGGACGGGUGAGUAACACGUGGGCAACCUGGCUCAUAGAGGGGGAUAACAGAGAGAAAUUUCUGCUAAUACCGCAUAAGCACACACUGCCGCAUGGCAGAGGGUGAAAAGAGAAUCGCUAUGAGAUGGACCCGCGUCUGAUUAGCCAGUUGGCAGGGUAAGAGCCUACCAAAGCGACGAUCAGUAGCCGAUCUGAGAGGAUGAACGGCCACAUUGGGACUGAGACACGGCCCAAACUCCUACGGGAGGCAGCAGUGGGGGAUAUUGCACAAUGGGGGGAACCCUGAUGCAGCGACGCCGCGUGAGUGAAGAAGUAUUUCGGUAUGUAAAGCUCUAUCAGCAGGGAAGAUAAUGACAGUACCUGAAUAAGAAGCCCCGGCUAACUACGUG